CUGGAAUAAUAUUUGUAGGACAUCUUUCAUCAUGUCAUGGCUCUCAAAGAAAAAUCUACACAACCAUUCAGCGAGCCCUUGUGUCAUGUGGAUUGAAGAAUUCUCCCCCUUGAGACACCAAUCCCAUCAUGAUAGAAGUGUUUCAUCACAGGAAGCAGCGAUCACAGUGACCCUUCCCUCCAGGGAGAACAGAUGACCUAAACCAUGCCGGCAAAAUACUCCCACAGUAAAACAGAUCCUCCAGGGUCAAGCACUCAGGCUUCUCCUGCACUGUUAUUAUUUACACAUCACAUUGUGCUUUUGAUGCAAGCUAAUUAUUUACUGUUUUGCAGAAAUGAGAAACAAAAGAUCCGCCCCGGUGCUGAAAAUAAGCCUUUCAUUCCCUGAAACAGAAAUGACAAACGGGCGCUGAACAUGAUGGAUGAUAAGUACAGAUUAAUUACAAGGAAAUAAUGCAUUCAACAUUUCAUUUUAAUUCAAAAGUAAAUAUUGAAAUGUGUGUGCCUGAUGGUGUGAGCAUGUGUGUGUGUGUGUGAAUCUCUCAGCGUCUGUAUUGAUUGUCCUCUGCUCUCUAAACAUUUACACUCAAUGAAAACGUUGACAGAAUCUGCAGUUUACAGCUCUUCACAUUGACCCCAUGUAAAAAGCUUACCAUUGGAGUGGCCUUCAUAUUAACUGUGCGUUGGUGUCCUGAAUGAAUAGCGGGUCCUUCACAUUGGAGGUAAUAAACGCUUGAGAUGCUGGCUCAGCUCUCAUGUGGACUCUCCACAAGAUCAACAGUGAAGGACUUCUCUGCUCAGUCACAGCAUUGUCUUUGUUGAUCUACUGACCUACUGUGUAAUCUCCCAAUCAGCCGGGUCUUUCAUAAACAAAUAGCACGUGUUGACAAUGCCUGAAAGAUAUGCAUGUGAUUCAAGAAGAAGAGAGCAUGCUAAGGCUUCUCUUCUGAAAAUAAAAUAUGACUGCAGGAUUUCUCUGUUCAUAAUGUGA